AAAAAAAAAAAAAAAAAUCACAUUAUACAUCAAAUGGUAGAAACAGAAGGCAGAACUUUAAAAAUGUUCCUCUCCAUGAAUGGUGAUUGCUAAACCAUGACAGAAACUGGCAAACCAUUCAUAGCUUAUUGGAGAAUGCCAAUAUUAUGUAUAGCAAUCAGGAUAAUCACUUUCCAAACAAAUCCAGUUCUGCAAAAAAGUUGUCCAUGCAUUGAGGACUGAACCAGUGCUGAUUCAUCUGCAUUGCAUCAGAAAAAUAGUUUCAUUCUAUCAAUAAAACUUUCUAAUAUAUGAAGCAGUUGUCAUUACUUACAAAAUAGGGGUAGUCCUUGAUGCUAAAAUCCUCUGGAGCCUCUUUGACAAACAAAUUUAUGAAGUAGAGAACAUAGAUGCCACAGUCUUCACCAUUGCUUUGCUGUGGUACCUUAGGUACCAAGAAUGGAAUCUUAUAAAUCAGCUUUUUAUUUUCAUCCCUGCCCUCUGAUCUAUAAAUGUCUAACACAAACUUUCUUAUAUCUGGUUCAAGGCGCCUUGGGUUUGCCAUUUCAAGUGAAUCCAGUAACAACAUGCAAGGUGUUCUGGCUUUUGACUCAAAGCUCUCACCAAGGUGGCAGAAGAUCAAUAGGCUCCAAUGACCCCAGCAAACAAUGGGAACAAGCACAUAUUUCUUCAAAAAAAUUUGCUUUCUCUUUAUCCAUGUAAGCACCUUCCCCUUAGAGGAUGCCUUCAUGUACCAGUAAAACCACAAGCUAUCCAGGUAAGUGAAGGAAGUCCUCUUAUCUUCUGAGAAGCUCCGCCACAAAUUUUGGAAGUAUCUGUCAAAUUCUCUACUAUCUAGUCUUUUCUUUUCUUUAAUUACUCUCGCAAUUCUACACUCGUGCUUCCUCCUCUUUGAUCUCUUACGAGAAGGGAAGGUACCUAAAAAACACUGGGGUAUUGAAUUGUAUCUCCAAAACUCUGCAGCCUGUUGUUUAUUUAUCUUCUUGCCAUUAGAAUACAAGCUCGCUAGCAUAUGCUUCCAACAUGAGCGAUGUUUGGACAGUCGAGAAUAAGCCUCUGCGAGUCGAGAUUCAGUAUCAUGCAGAAGAGUUCCACCAUCACACUUUCUCAUCCCCAUUGUUAAUAACGAAAUCAAGCAAAAUUUCCCUCUCUUUUGAGAUAAAGAAAACGUAUUGGUUUCGGUGUCUGAUUAACG
rnacentral:misc_RNA from 1 species